AUGGACCGGACCGUGAACCGGAUUACGGUCUUCACGGACUGGACCAUGACAACAGGAUUUUGCAAAUUUGAUUGGGAGAAGCUGUUUGCAGCUGGAUAUCUGGCCCAGGAAUUGAAGAUGCCUCACAUUUCAAUCACGAGGCCCGAGACGACGACGGUGAAGAUACUGUGCGAGGUAAGGGCACUCGAUGACAUCCACUGGUACCAGCAACUCGCCAACCAGGCACCCAGAAGGAUCCUGCGCUUUAGCAAAGGUCGAACGGAGCGGGAUCCGGGAGUGUCCGCCAAGUUCUCAGCCGAGGGCAGUGACCCUUUCUUCUCUCUUGUGGUUGACAACAUCGCCCUGACAGAUGCCGCCAUCUAUUACUGUGCCCGCUGGGUCGGCACAGUGUGA